AAUAAAAACCUGAAAUUCUUAUUCCAGGUCUUUGAGGACUGAUCCUAAGCAUAAGCAGUAUGCCGUGCUCAGGGUGACAAUGGCUAUCUAAAAGAAAGAAGCUCUCCUUAGCACAUCCCACAGAUGCAUUUAUCACCUUUGAAGAGAAGGGAUAAUGAAAUGACAGUUGUUUGUGCUUCUGUUUUCUACUGGCAAGAGGGAGCCUCGCUGGCGGCAUGAUGGACUUGUGGAAAUUCCCAAAGGAUACCCAUUGUCAGACUGGAGGGGAGAGAGUG